GCUGGGCAUAGUGGUGCAUGCCUGUAAUCCCAGCAACUCAGGAGGCCAAGGCAGAAGGAUCAAACGUUCGAAGCCAGACUCAGCACUUU
rnacentral:sRNA from 1 species